rnacentral:rRNA from 1 species
GAUGAACGCUGGCGGCGUGCCUAAUACAUGCAAGUCGAGCGGACUUAAAAAGCUUGCUUUUUAAGUUAGCGGCGGACGGGUGAGUAACACGUGGGCAACCUGCCUGUCAGACUGGGAUAACUUCGGGAAACCGGAGCUAAUACCGGAUAAUCCUUUUCUACUCAUGUAGAAAAGCUGAAAGACGGUUUACGCUGUCACUUACAGAUGGGCCCGCGGCGCAUUAGCUAGUUGGUGAGGUAACGGCUCACCAAGGCGACGAUGCGUAGCCGACCUGAGAGGGGGAUCGGCCACACUGGGACUGAGACACGGCCCAGACUCCUACGGGAGGCAGCAGUAGGGAAUCUUCCGCAAUGGACGAAAGUCUGACGGAGCAACGCCGCGUGAGUGAUGAAGGUUUUCGGAUCGUAAAACUCUGUUGUUAGGGAAGAACAAGUACGAGAGUAACUGCUCGUACCUUGACGGUACCUAACCAGAAAGCCACGGCUAACUACGUG